rnacentral:rRNA from 1 species
AAACCAGCACCUCAAGUGGUCAGGAGGUUUAUUGGGCCUAAAGCAUCUGUAGCCUGAUCUAUAAGUUUCCGGUUAAAUCCACAUGCUCAACAUUUGGGCUGCCGGAAAAACUGUAGAUCUAGGGAGUGGGAGAGGUAGACGGUACUCGGUAGGAAGGGGUAAAAUCCUUUGAUCUAUUGAUGACCACCAGUGGCGAAGGCGGUCUACCAGAACACGUUCGACGGUGAGGGAUGAAAGCUGGGGGAGCAAACCGGAUUAGAUACCCGAGUAGUCC